GCCCUCGCCGAAAGCAAGUGGACUACACUUGUUCCCCACAGAUCACUGAAGUUAAGAAACGUCGUGUGUGGUUGGUAUCCGGAUGGGUGAUCAUCUGGACAAUUACAAGCUGCUAGCU
rnacentral:rRNA from 1 species